rnacentral:rRNA from 1 species
GAUGAACGCUGGCGGCGUGCCUAAUACAUGCAAGUCGAACGAAGCCUUCGGGCUUAGUGGCGAACGGGUGAGUAACACGUUGGUACCUACCCUCUAGUGGGGAAUAACUGGCCGAAAGGUCGGCUAAUACCGCAUAAUACCGCAAGGUUAAAGCAGCAAUGCGCUAGAGGAGGGGCCUGCGUCCCAUUAGCUUGUUGGUAGUGUAAUGGACUACCAAGGCGACGAUGGGUAGCUGGAUCGAGAGGUUGACCAGCCACACUGGGACUGAGAUACGGCCCAGACUCCUACGGGAGGCAGCAGUAAGGAAUCUUCCACAAUGGACGAAAGUCUGAUGGAGCAACGCCGCGUGCAGGAUGACGGCCUUCGGGUUGUAAACUGCUUUUAUAUGGGAAGAUUAUGACGGUACCAUAUGAAUAAGGACCGGCUAACUACGUGCAAGCAGCAGCCGCGGUAA